AUGGAACAGAACAUCUUUCUGUUGUUCCUCUGGUUUCCACAGGGUGAUGUUGGACUACCUGGGCCACCUGGGUCACCGCUGUUAGUUGGACCUCCUGGAGCUCAGCUGUUCAAAGGAGAAAAGGGCCAAAAAGGACUACCUGGGAUAACAGGAUACAGAGGACCACAUGGACCCAAAGUAAGUAAAGCAAUUUUUUUUUCCGUGGUGCUUCUGUUGUUAUUAAGUUAAUCUUUCAAAGCACAAGAUGAUGGAAGAAAUAACAGCACUUGUGCAUUGGAACUUAAUUAGCACCUAUAUAAAUAUGAAAGCAAAAAUAUUUCAAAACCCUUUGGAAAACCUUUCCAAGUCUGUUUUAUACCUACCUGUUGAAUGCUGCCUGGUUGUGAAAGGUCAGUGUUGUUUCCAGUUGGAUUGUUGACACAAAUGACUCAGACUGUAAAGAAAGCAGAAGUGCAGAUUAUUUUUUCUCAAGGAGAGAAAUAGAGAAGAUCUGUUUAUGUUCUUAAUGGAGCAAAUGUAUGUUUCCCUAAUUAUGCGAGGGAAAGACUUUUAACUUCACAUUCUGAGUAUCCUCAAAAGUAGAGAUGGACGAGCAACCUGUUUGGAGAGUGUUGCUGUCAGUAUAAUGCAUUUAAACAUUAGCAUGCCAGUAAGAAGUUCCUCAGUGCUGAGCAGAAGCAGCCACAGAAUAGAUUGUGAUGUGUUUAUUGCUGAUAGAUUUGAAGGGGAAAAAUCCACAGACAGAAAACUACCAGAUCUCAGGGAAAAAAAAUAACAGAAGAUAACUGGGGAGAAAGGAAAGGAGCUAGUUUGUAUUAAACAUUUAUUUAGUUUUGUAGGCAGAAGACGCCUAAACAUCACAUUUCUGCAUUCAGAGUCUAGCACCUUUUCAGGAAGUCAUUUUCCAUCAUGAUAGCACUACUGAUACUUAGCACUGGGAAAGGAGACAAAAUCCUUUUGUAUAAGAGUUAUUUUGAAAAAGGUGGAGCUUAUAUGGUAGUUCUAGUAUUAGCUGUACCUGUAGAUAAUUGUACACUCAUUAUUUAUAAGCAGGAACUAAGGAAUUGCCUCUUGGGGCCUUAAAGGUGCCCAGAACUUAAAAAAGCCAAACUUCUGAAAGCAUGUUAAGCUUGGUGAAGAGAUCAUAACAGCUUUCUUGAAUAACUGAAGAUACGGAGGCACUACUAGUAGUGCUUGAUGAAGUAAGCCCCGCUGUUGGACCCUAGCAAGCAAAACAAGAUCUGUUAUAUACAAACUUAAUAAACAUGCACAUAGAAUAAAAUUUUUUGCA
rnacentral:lncRNA from 1 species